rnacentral:lncRNA from 1 species
AAUCAUGUCUUUGUCUUCUGUUUAUUCAAGUGUAUUCCAUUUGCUUUCGGGAAUAUUUGGAUGUUUUAGAACUAACAUUCUGCUUUAAUAAUCCAAACACACUAUAAUUCCAUCAAUUUGAGUCUCUUAAAAUGUUACACUGAAAUGAAUCUCUCUGAAGAUGGACUUAUUGAUUUCUAUAUUCUUCCUCUAGCAUCAUGAAAUUUGACCUCUUCAGCCGUGCAUGGUUAACACUCCAUCUAUCUGAGUAAGUCCUGCCUUGAAGAAUCGUGAGUGCAAACCAGUUUGAGAGAGAAGAGGAAAAAUAAAUGAGUCGUGCUCUGUCUUCCAGGCUGGAAUGCAGUGGUAUGAUCACAACUCACAACUUACUGCAUCCUCUACCUCCUGAGCUCAAGGGGAAUCCUUCCACUUCAGCCUCCAAGGUGGCUGGGACCAUAGAUACACUCCACUACUCAAAGUUUAGCAACCACUCAAGGAAAUUUAAAACACUAAAUUUCUGGACUUGCCAGACUAAGGGCCAGACUCUGGACCUCACCAAAUUCAUCAAGCUUCAUCAGAUAAACCACAUGUGUGAUAACACUCUGUACUCCUUCGCCUGAGACAUGAAAUUAUCAUGACAUUUUUCCUGAAGCAGCCGCAUAAUAUUCCUUGAUGCUGGACUUUAGGCAGCAACUACUUAAUAACCCAAACUGGCACCCAAGAUGAAUUUUAUUGGCCAUGCUGUUCUGGAAUUGUAAAUUUUUUACAUCUCCUUCAAAAUAUAAAGUAUAGAUCAUAGUCCAAGUUAGAAAAAUAUCCUACCAAAAAUUGUCCAACUGCAGAACCAUGACUUUGCUUAUUAUUUACUUAUAUCAAUAAAUUACAUUAGAAUGAUUGACUGUUGUCCAUGUUAUGCACAGAAAUCAACAUAAGAUAAUCACCUUAUUUGACUGCAGGGCCAUAGCAUUCCUUACUCAUUUUUAUUUAUGUAAUAAAUAAUGUUACCUGGGAAAAUGGAAAAACGGCUAUGUGUCAAAGUGUGUAUUCAGAUGUUCUUUCUUCUCACAUUUUUCUUUAACAAUAUAUUUCAAGAGAAAGACUAUAUUUCAAGUAAGAACUCCAAUCUUUUUUUAAUAGGAAAAAAUGUUUAACACCAAGGUAGGAAAAUAUUCUCAACAUUUCCUUCGUGUAGAAUUGUAUUCUUUAUUUUUAAAUUUUAAUUAACUAAUUUGUUUUGAGAUACAGUCUCACCACUUCGUCAAGCAGGCUGGAGAGCAGUGGUGCUCUCUCGGCUCACUGCAACCUCCACCUCCCGGUUUCAAGCAAUUCUUGUGCCUCAGCCUCCCCAGUAGCUGGAAUUACAGGCAUCUACCGCCAAGCACAGCUAAUUUUUGUAUUUUUAGUAGAGACGGGGUCUUGCCAUGUUUUUUGGGCUGCUCUCAAACUCCUGGCCUCAAGUGAUCCACUGGCCUCAGCCUCCCAAACUGCUGGGAUUACAGGCAUGCACCACCACACCCAGCUAAUUUUUGUAUUUUUAGUAGAGAUGAGGUUUCACCAUGCUGGCUCCACUGGUCUUGAACCCCUGACCUCAAGUGAUCCGCCUGUGCCAGCCUCCCAAAGUGCUGAGAUUACAGGCAUGAGCUAUUGAGCCUGGCCCUCUUGUGGAGUUUAAAAUUUUUCUUUUAAACAAUCCCAAAUUUGUAAAUACAUACUAGCACCAGUAUCAUUUUGUUAUAACUUAACUGCUGUGAAAUAUAAUUAUUACUUUUUGACUGUAUUCUUUAAAAAUCC